UACAGAGAGUGCAAACGUUGUUCGGAAUUACUGGGCUUGAAGCGCACGUAGGCGGCGUUGUAAGUGUCGGGUGAAAUCCCACGGCUCACCCGUGGAACUGCCCGGCAUACUGCGAUGCUAGAGUGUGGUAGGGGAGAGCGGAAUUUCUGGUGUAGAGGUGAAAUUCGUAGAUAUCAGAAGGAACAACAGCGGCGAAGGCGGCUCUCUGGACUAUUACUGACGCUGAGGUGCGAAAGCGUGGGGAGCAAACAGG
rnacentral:rRNA from 1 species